rnacentral:lncRNA from 1 species
CAGAUUUUGGUGCUGUUAGAGGAAUACUGAAACUGAAGUUUUACCAAACUUUUGUUCACCAUGGUUAGCUACUUUGGACUAUGGAGCAGCCUUUAUCAAUUACUCAUAUUCACGGUUAGUGGACUGUUUUUUUCCACCAGAAAUUGAUCUCUUUUGCCAUGUCAUGUUUUCAUUUCUAUUGCUUCUUGUUACUGCAUUUAUUGAGUCGUGAUAUUUUGUGUUGCAUAAGCCUUUUUAAUGACAGUGCCGGCACAGCAGUAUUGUAAUAUUUAGGAAAGUCAUGGAAAAACUCCUAUAUUGUUGAAAUAAUUUUGCAUUUCCUUUUCUAUAGUGUUUUAACUAUGUGACGUAGUUUCUGGUUAGGCCAAGCUCAUGUUGUAUUGUCUCAAAGGAAAAAAUUGGUGCAUGAGCAUUUGACAUUGGAUAAGCAUUAUCCAUUAGAUUAGGUGAACUGCACGUGGAAAACUACUGGGGGUCACAAUCAAGACUUUUGUAGCUGGAAAUCAACUUAUAGUACUCAUUCUUUUAUGCUGUUCCAUGCUUUUGACCAGUCCAAUAUGGUUUUUUUAUAUUUAUGAAAAACAAAAAAACAUUACCCCAUUCGCCAAGUCAAUUUAUCUAACCAACUCAAUGUGACAACCAAUGACAUUUUGUUUUAGGCUAGGAGUUUAAGUUGCUUCAUGCAUGCUGGGGUAAAAGGUAAGAACUGAGACCGGGUGUUGCGGAAAUACCUAUCAUUGACCUAAUCUACACUAAAAUUUGAAAUUAAUACAGUAGUGAUAAAAUUAAUCACCUGGCAUUGAAAGGGAUCACUUUGGUGGAUUUGAAUGGGAAUAUCUGACGGAGGGCUGCUCAUUCUCAUUACUACUUUUAGGUUAGCCUGUUUUGUUUCCCUCUAAGUUUCUAUCUGGGGAGCUAUUUUUUAUUUAUAUAUUUUAUAUCACCACCUUAGCCAUGGUAAUUUUACACUCCUCACUUGGUUAUUUAAUCUGUCUUUUUCAGUCUAAGGCUCAUGAGUAUGGUUUACUUUGUCAAUUGUCACAAAACAUUACGGUAUGUUGGUUGGUUUCGGUCUUGCAUUUUUGACAUGUGAGUGUUUGAUUUUCAGGUGAAGAAGCCACCUGGUAUUUAUUUAGGAGAGGAAUGCAGGCAGGGGAAGAGCAUUUGAAAUUCCAGGUACUUUAUUUUUCAUCACGCAUGACCUAAAGUAGUAC